CACAGAGAUAAUCAGACACAAUGAACUCCCUUACAUUUGCAAUCUUGGUUUUAAUACUCUUUGCUCACGAUUGUACCAGUGAGGUUGUUCUUAAUCAACCUUCAUUACAAACUGCAACCCCUGGCCAGAGUGUCUCUCUGAGUUGUAAAGCCAGUACCUCUAUGUCAGAUGACUUAAACUGGUAUCAUCAGAGACCUGGCCAGGUACCCCGGCUCCUGGUUUAUGAUGGUAACGUCCGUUAUUCUGGCAUCCCUGAGAAGUUCAGCGGUAGCUAUUCAGGAACAGAUUUUACUCUGACAAUCAGUAAGUUUGAACCUGAAGACGCAGGACAUUACUACUGUCAGCAGUUUAACCAGUGGCCUUUAACACAGUGAGAAAGAGUCGUACAAAAACCUCCUCUGUGCAAGCAUGCAGCUGUGGCAGUGUGCAGAGAGAAAUGAAAAUCACAAAUAUGGAGGGUGAACAUAAGACAUUUCGAUGGAUUGUUGAAGGCUUAUUCAUAGAUAUGAAUCACAUAAUGGUGGCACAGUGACAUAGCAAUUACUGCUGCUGUCUCUUAGCUACAGAAGGCUGUAUUAGUAUCUUAGUUACUGGUCACUGCCAGUGUGGAGUGUGCACAUUCCCUGAUUCCAGCACCCCAAAGAUGUGCACCAGGUUCACUGGCAAUUGGAAUUUGACCUUGUGUGAGUGAGUGAGUGAGUGAGUGAGUGAGUGAGUGAAUGAGUGAGUGAGUGAGUGAGUGAGUGAAUGAAUGGGCCCUGUGACAAGGAGGCUAUCUGCCCAGAGCUGGUUUCUGCCCUAUUUCUAUUCCUUAUGCUG